rnacentral:rRNA from 1 species
GCCAGACUCCUACGGGAGGCAGCAGUGGGGAAUAUUGCACAAUGGGGGAAACCCUGAUGCAGCGACGCCGCGUGAGUGAAGAAGUAUUUCGGUAUGUAAAGCUCUAUCAGCAGGGAAGAUAAUGACGGUACCUGACUAAGAAGCCCCGGCUAACUACGUGCCAGCAGCCGCGGUAAUACGUAGGGGGCAAGCGUUAUCCGGAUUUACUGGGUGUAAAGGGUGCGCAGGUGGCAGGGCAAGUCAGAUGUGAAAGCCCGGGGCUCAACCCCGGUAUUGCAUUUGAAACUGUCCGGCUAGAGUGCAGGAGAGGUAAGCGGAAUUCCUAGUGUAGCGGUGAAAUGCGUAGAUAUUAGGAGGAACACCAGUGGCGAAGGCGGCUUACUGGACUGUAACUGACACUGAGGCACGAAAGCGUGGGGAGCAAAUAGGAUUAGAUACCCCGGUAGA